rnacentral:rRNA from 1 species
GACGAACGCUGGCGGCGUGCUUAACACAUGCAAGUCGAGCGGUAAGGCCCUUUCGGGGGUACACGAGCGGCGAACGGGUGAGUAACACGUGGGUGACCUGCCCUCAGCUCUGGGAUAAGCCUGGGAAACCGGGUCUAAUACUGGAUAUGACUCCAUGACGCAUGUUGUGGGGUGGAAAGCCUUGUGCGGCUGAGGAUGGGCCCNCGGCCUAUCAGCUUGUUGGUGGGGUGANGGCCUACCAAGGCGACGACGGGUAGCCGGCCUGAGAGGGCGACCGGCCACACUGGGACUGAGACACGGCCCAGACUCCUACGGGAGGCAGCAGUGGGGGAAUCUUGCGCAA